AGCUUGAUGUAUUGUAGUAAACGUGAAAGGUAAUAUAUAUACAGGGUGGACGAUAUAUAACUAAUUUCCAACUGCCGCCAUACUGAAACGAUGCGUCCAUCGUGUCCUGUUCCGCUUCAGCGAUUGUUUUAUCGAAGAAUGUGAAAUAAUCGUGGAGCGUUGCACAGUUGAGGAACGAGUGAAAAUUAUUCAAACAUUUGAUCGAAAAGCUACUCCUUCAUCCUGAUACAUUGGCCAAGGGAUUAUUUGAAGAAACAAACAGAUAUACGUAGACUUAAGAGAUUCAAAGCAUUGGGUGCAAAAGACAAAUUUUAAGUGAUUCUUAGAUAAGAGAAGACAGCUCAGAGAAGACAGUCAUUAAUUAGAAGGAAAAUCAUACGUCCAGUCGUUAAAGGAUACGAUUCUCUUGUUUUGGAUAAAUGCUGGAUAUUUUAAUUACAUUGGUUUCUUACCAAAGUACGUAUAAAGUUGCGAAAACGUAUCCAAAAAUUCAACUCUCCAUACAUACGUAACCCCAAAAAUUCAGCCAUUCCGAAAGAUAUCGUAAAAUUUCAACUACCGAGUAAGUACUAAAAGUUCUACUAAAAUCUUCAUCUACGUAGUACGGAAACGUCUUCAAAGUAGGAUCAUCAAGCGCGUUAGUUAAUCAGCGGAAGCGUGACAAACGCACAAUCGCAACACAGCAAUACGUAGUAGCACAGCGAUGCGCGUACACGUGCAACAUGUUCAAAGCAUAAAUGUAAACGGAUCGCCUAACCGUGAUUAGAUAUGCAGCCAGGUACACGUGUAUAUAAGCAAAUGAGCUGUACGAUGCACAGUAUGAAAUCGUGGUAAAACAGAGGCAGUGCGCGUGUCUUAUCUAGCGACCUCAACUUCCGCACCUUUUCACCAUUUUCUACCCCUUUGCUAAUUACGCGACCCAACGAAAGUUCAAAGAACCAUCCGCCGUCGUCUUUUAUACCACGUACCUUUUUUUCCUUCUUUUUCUCCUCUUACGUAUUCUUCUCUCUUUGAUAAUCGGAUUUUUUUUUUGCGGAAACACCCUCGCGAGACGAUUCGAAAAGACACGCGGAAUAUGACGACGAUGAAAUCGCAUUGAUGGUAUUCGACGAUAAAAGUUAGUUACGCAACGCUUCUCACUCCCCUCUCACGGAAAUAUCGUCUGUCGGAAAUAGAUUCAAGUACAUGGACAUCGAUGGUUGGCUUGGAAUUAUGCAUCGACUCAGUUCGUCAAGGUUGCUGGAUCACGACCGCGGUUUCGCGCGUGGGGCGUUUGAACUAUUCGCGCCUCCUUCCAUUUCUGCGUCUCGAAAUACUUUCUGAACUUGUGCGCGCAUUUUCCAUGAAAAUGAUUUCUAUUACGUUUCCUACAGUGCAUAGGGGUUCAUGGCGUGAUAGAUAAAAGCUUGACGUGAUUUUCUUAGUACCGUUAAAAUGACAUUUCAUCGUAUCCUCUUCCAUCUUUCACGAAUUUCAAUUUAUUCUAGCUGUUAAUCGUGUUUCUGUAGGAUAUAUUGGGUUGUCCGAAACGUUUCUUUCGUUUCAUAAGGUGAUAAUAGAUGAACAAC